rnacentral:rRNA from 1 species
CCUACGGGAGGCAGCAGUGGGGGAUCUUGCACAAUGGGCGCAAGCCUGAUGCAGCGACACCGCGUGAGCGAAGAAGUAUUUCGGUAUGUAAAGCUCUAUCAGCAGGGAAGAAAAUGACGGUACCUGACUAACAAGCUUCGGCUAAAUACUUGCAAGCAGCCGCGGUCAUACGUAUGGCGCAAGCGUUAUCCGGAUGUACUGGGGGUAAAGUGAGCGUAGGUGGUCCAGUAAGUCUGAUGUGAAAAUUUGGGGAUCAAACCCAAACUUGCAUUUGAAACUGCUGGACUUGAGUGCCGGAGAGGAGGGCGGAAGUGCAAGUGUAGCGGUGGAAUGCGUAGAUAUUAGGAAGAACACCAGUGGCGAAGGCGGC